rnacentral:rRNA from 1 species
GACGAACGCUGGCGGCGUGCCUAAUACAUGCAAGUAGAACGCUGAAGGAGGGGCUUGCUCUUCUGGAUGAGUUGCGAACGGGUGAGUAACGCGUAGGUAACCUGCCUGGUAGCGGGGGAUAACUAUUGGAAACGAUAGCUAAUACCGCAUAACAGUAGAUGUUGCAUGACAUUUGCUUAAAAGGUGCAAUUGCACCACUACCAGAUGGACCUGCGUUGUAUUAGCUAGUUGGUGGGGUAACGGCUCACCAAGGCGACGAUACAUAGCCGACCUGAGAGGGUGAUCGGCCACACUGGGACUGAGACACGGCCCAGACUCCUACGGGAGGCAGCAGUAGGGAAUCUUCGGCAAUGGACGGAAGUCUGACCGAGCAACGCCGCGUGAGUGAAGAAGGUUUUUGGAUCGUAAAGCUCUGUUGUAAGAGAAGAACGAGUGUGAGAGUGGAAAGUUCACACUGUGACGGUAUCUUACCAGAAAGGGACGGCUAACUACGUG